CCAAGAGGAGAACCUGUUCACAGGAAAGGCAUGAGCUCAUUGUACCACUGUGCGCUGCGUUUCUUUCUCAAAAGGUAGCAGAAAUGCUUGUAUUAAUUUUAAAUGCGGAGCUAUGGAACGGAUUAUCUGGUAUCAUUAGUAGCUUCAGAGGAUAGGUGUUUAAUAUUAAUAAUCACUGUUAGCCUAUAGCUUAAUUAGGGUGAGAAGCGUCUGGAUGCUGUGCAGCACCAGUCUUGGUUCUAGAUGCUGUUCCUGUCUGCAGCAGGCACGUCCUGGCUGCUGAGCUUUUGUCUCCAGGCAGCUGAGAACAGCAUGUCCUCACUGCUGCUUAUCGAUACUGCUUCUCCUCCCUGGUUCUGGGACUCUUUAAAAGGUUUCUGGCUCUUAACCAGAAAUGAAGAGCGUGAGUGCCUAUUGAAACAGUCCCUUGCAGUCAGGCAGUUUUUUCUUCUGUGUGGGAGUAGCUGCCUUUGCUCUCCUAAGGGUGGGAAACCUCUUCAUAAAGCCAAUUCUCCUCUUCCAGAUAGUGAAAUACAGACGUAAGUCUUUUUGCCUUAUUGCAAUACAUUGUUUGUUGUGGGCAUUAUAUGCUUCAGAGUCAUGAGUUGCACAAGUGCUAUUUAUUGUCUUUAAUUUCAUUUGUCUUUCCAAGCAUAUCCUGGUCCAGUGGUAUUCGGUGUUCUUUGUGAAGCUGAUUACAUUUUUUAUAAACAGUAAGAGGGAAGCUGAAGAACAUUCAAGAGGACUGCAGCGGGUGGCUUGACUCAGGCUUCCUGUGACAUUCGUCCAAUCCUGCAUUAACUAACAUUUCAUUGUCUUAGUGACAUCAGUGGUGUAUAACAAUGAAUCCAUCAAUGAAAAAACAAACUAAUUAAGGUAUGAAUAUGUCAGGGUUGUAAAGGGUGAUGCUAGCAUGGCAAAGCCCUGCAGCGAGUGUACAGCUUGGAAAAAGAUUGGAAGGGACUGAAGCCCUAGCCAGGAAAGUGCCAUGCUGCUGUGUCUUUCUUCAAGGUAAUGCCAUCAGUCUUCUUUUCUAAGCUUGUUUGGGUCUCUUGCGCCUGAUCUUUGCUUUGCCUUAUACUCCUUAGUCAGCUGUCUCUGUUGGUUUUCUCCCUGACUAUACAGAUGAUUCUGGGAGCAGAGAACAUUGACUGCAGGGUAAGAUAUAUUCUGUGCAGGACCCCCUGCUGCUGUCCACCUCAUGGUAUUAAGGGAAUGGGUUGUCUGAGAAGGCAGUCAACGUUCAUAUUCUCCUUUUUCGUGUAGCUAUCAGAAGAGCUUCUCCACAUAAAUCUUCUCAGGAUUGUGAUUAGCUCUGACUGGAGUUGUGUUUGAGUAAGCACAAAACCAGCUUGUGGUUCUGCUUUUCCUUCUGUAUAAAAAAUUGAAAAGAUUGUCAGACACCGAGGGGAAAUGUUACUUCUGUUGCUUGUAGCGAGUGAAGGAAUCAACCUGUUAAUUCCCACUGUGCAGUAACCUAAAUCAGAGGCAGACGUAGAAUCCAAGAUCCUCUUUAUGCUCCCCUAAGACAAUAGUUAGGCCAUGCUGCUUUUUAAAAUGCUUUCUAACAUCUCAUGUUUAGAAAACAAUUUUUAGAGUGAAGGUUUAUGUUCUGCUAACAACCUGUAAGUCUUGCUUAGCCUCACAGAGGAAGGAGGGAAGCAAACUGUGUGUUUCAAUGCAUGCUAAGUUAAAAGGAAGAUACAGUGAACACAAUCAUAAAAAAAAAAGUCUCUUAGCUUCAUUAAAGUAUGUGUUCACCCACUGUUAAUUCUGUAUUUGGUUGUAGAGGCCAUGCUGCAAUGAUCUGGAGCUACAAAGCUAUUCUGAGUGCUUACUGUUAAAAUCAAGGACUCGUAACUUAAUUGUAUACUCUGUGGAGCAGAUUUUUUUAAACCAGAACUUAUGAACCCUUACUGUGUUGCAAAAAGGCAAAAGACUUAACAAAAAUGGUACAAACGUGCCUCCUCAUUAUUUUUGGGCAAACAGUUUUCCUUUUCUUCUGGAUAAGGAGCUGGCUGAGAGUACUUGACGUUCCCCCUUGCUGUUCUGCGAGGUGGCGAAAGCCAUAUCCAAAUAACCAUUAUUAGAAAAAUGCCAGUGCUGGGACACUCGCAGUGUGGGUUUGCUCCUAUGCUCAGCAAGGAGAGGAAAAUAUAGCCCGAUAUAAAUUCUGUCAAGCUCCCCGUGGGCCUGUGUGUAGGGUAGGGUUUAGUUACGGUUAAUGCUUUGGAAAUGUGGAAUUUACUUAUCAAAGGAAAGCUAAAGGGAGAAGUAUACAGACAUGCUUAAUGUGGAAGGCAAGCACGUUCAGCUGGCAUGAGAAAUCUGCCAGGCAGAUUUAGAAAUGAUUUCUCCACUGCAGCUGCCAAGCUUUGGAGGUGUUGAGGUAGGUCCUGAGCACAGGUUUCAGCCGGGUGGCAGCACUUUGUGAGGGCUGCCCGAAAUUCUGUGGGUUGGCGAGACAGGACAGGGGCCACCUGAAGGGAUGCACGUCCUGCCUGGCAUCCUGCGCCUUCCCCAAUUUUCCUUGGGCUGGUGUUCCUCCAAAGACACAGAGUCCAGCCUUCUCGCCGCCUUCUGACAAGAGGCCCCGUAUUAUAUUAUAUUAACUGCUGCAAUUUCCUCGUUGCUCUUAAGCAAGUUAUUAAUUAACUGAAUGUAACCACUGGCUGUUGAUAAAUCCUUUUAACUAAUUCAAAUUCCAUAUCGAGCUCGGAGCAUUUCCACUCCAGCUGCUGCCGACUUUAAGCUUUGGGAAGAAUUAGUUCUGAGCUGUUUUUGAGUUCUGGAGUUGGGGAAAAUGGAGAGAAGAUAUUUGUUUGCUUGAUUCCACAUGACAACUCCAGGGUAACUGAAUAGACUGUACGGUUGGUUUGACAAGGCUGUGCACCGAGCCAGCAGCCUCACAUACCAGAGACAGGGGGAUGGAAGGGGAACUGACAGUUGUAAUGGAUUUUAUCAGAAUUUCUCUAAAGACCAACAAUUUGCCUUCAAUUAUUAAUGUUUUUCAGAGGUUUCUCUCCUGAGAGGUAUGAAUAACUAACUUAAAUAAAUAUGCAUUCAUGUAACA
rnacentral:lncRNA from 1 species